UGAAAGGUUGACCUCGGAUCAGGUAGGAAUACCCGCUGAACUUAAGCAUAUCAAUAAGCGGAGGAAAAGAAACCAACAGGGAUUGCCCUAGUAACGGCGAGUGAAGCGGCAACAGCUCAAAUUUGAAAUCUGGCCCUCGGGUCCGAGUUGUAAUUUGUAGAGGAUGCUUUUGGCGCGGUGCCUUCCGAGUUCCCUGGAACGGGACGCCAUAGAGGGUGAGAGCCCCGUCUGGUUGGACACCAAGCCUCUGUAAAGCUCCUUCGACGAGUCGAGUAGUUUGGGAAUGCUGCUCUAAAUGGGAGGUAUAUGUCUUCUAAAGCUAAAUACCGGCCAGAGACCGAUAGCGCACAAGUAGAGUGAUCGAAAGAUGAAAAGCACUUUGAAAAGAGAGUUAAAUAGCACGUGAAAUUGUUGAAAGGGAAGCGUUUAUGACCAGACUUGGGCUUGGUUGAUCAUCCCGCGUUCUCGCGGGUGCACUCUUCCGGCUCAGGCCAGCAUCAGUUCGCUGCGGGGGAUAAAGGCGUUGGGAAUGUGGCUCCCUCGGGAGUGUUAUAGCCCUUCGUGUAAUACCCUGCGGUGGACUGAGGACCGCGCUUCGGCAAGGAUGCUGGCGUAAUGGUCAUCAACGACCCGUCUUGAAACACGGACCAAGGAGUCGUCUUCGUAUGCGAGUGUUCGGGUGUCAAACCCCUACGCGUAAUGAAAGUGAACGCAGGUGAGAGCUUCGGCGCAUCAUCGACCGAUCCUGAUGUUCUCGGAUGGAUUUGAGUAAGAGCAUACGGGGCCGGACCCGAAAGAAGGUGAACUAUGCCUGUAUAGGGUGAAGCCAGAGGAAACUCUGGUGGAGGCUCGCAGCGGUUCUGACGUGCAAAUCGAUCGUCAAAUAUG
rnacentral:rRNA from 1 species